ensembl:snRNA U6 U6 spliceosomal RNA
GAUUGCCACUUCAGCCACACAUAUACUAAAAUUGGAAUGAUGCAAAGAAGAUUCCUCUGGCUCCUGCAUAAGGAUGAUAUUUGUGCAGCAUUCCAUACAUUAAAUAUUUUU